rnacentral:rRNA from 1 species
CAAUAGCGUAUAUCAAAGUUGUUGCAGUUAAAAAGCUCGUAGUUGGAUUUCUGGUCGGAAGCUCCUGUCCUCUGAUGAGCGUACAAGUGCGUCCUACCAUCCUUCUGUUAACCUUUAAGGCUUUCGCGGCUUUCUAGGGGCUCAGAUAUUUUACCUUGAGAAAAUUAGAGUGUUUCAGGCAGGCUAGCGCCGGAAUACAUUAGCAUGGAAUAAUGGAAUAGGACUUUUGCCUCUUCUGUUGGUCAUGAGGCUCGAGUAAUGAUUAAUAGGGAUAGUUGGGGGCAUUAGUACUUAACUGUCAGAGGUGAAAUUCUCGGAUUUGUUAAAGACUAACUUAUGCGAAAGCAUUUGCCAAGGAUGUUUUCAUUAA